CCUACGGGUGGCUGCAGUGGGGAAUAUUGGGCAAUGGGCGCAAGCCUGACCCAGCAACGCCGCGUGAAGGAAGAAGGCUUUCGGGUUGUAAACUUCUUUUUUCAGGGACGAAGCAAGUGACGGUACCUGAUGAAUAAGCCACGGCUAACUACGUGCCAGCAGCCGCGGUAAUACGUAGGUGGCAAGCGUUAUCCGGAUUUACUGGGUGUAAAGGGCGUGUAGGCGGGACUGCAAGUCAGAUGUGAAAACCAUGGGCUCAACCUAUGGCCUGCAUUUGAAACUGUAGUUCUUGAGUACUGUAGAGGCAGGCGGAAUUCCUGGUGUAGCGGUGAAAUGCGUAGAUAUUAGGAGGAACACCAGUGGCGAAGGCGGUCUGCUGGACAGCAACUGACGCUGAGGCGCGAAAGCGUGGGGAGCAAACAGGAUUAGAUACCCGUGUAGUC
rnacentral:rRNA from 1 species